CCGUGGGCCCCUGCGAGGUGGUAUUUAAGUGUCUAGCUGUGCACUUUCGGCCUCGUUUUCUUCCUGCUGCACCGGGGUUCAGGCGCCCGAUUGAACGCUGAAGACUCGAAAAGAUCCCUCCUGUUGUUAAGAAGGUGGUUCAGCUCAAAAGAGAUUGCGGGUUGGAGGAUGGGACAAGACCUACUCCUGUGCGAAUCGAGCACCGCUGUGAUGCUCCAGCAUCUUCUCACCAAUUCUGAGGAAUUCAGCUGCCUCCCAGGAUGAUGAAUACAGCUUGUUCUUGGAAUGAUUUUCCUGGGGAGAGAGAGCAACCCGGCAGCACAGUUGGUUCUUGUGAGGGUGUGCUCUUCCCUCAUCCACAUGUCACUGUCAGAUGAUUUGAAUUGAUAUGCUGAUCCUCCAUGAGGUUGUCCAGAUUAUAAAUUCAUCUGUGUUCCGAUGCCCUGUGAUCUGCCCCAGGUCCACUCCUGUAAAGAGUGGAGAGUGGAGCGCCUUGUUUGUGUAUACUACUGGAAAGCCUCCAGAAUUGAAAGGUGCUGUUACCAGUAACCUGCUUUUUUGCUCGAAGGUCCAGCACCUUGUCGGGAGCCCAAGAAUGAUUUGAGCGAAAGCAUACGCCAUAUUUCUGCUCAACUCCAGUCUGAAGUUAGAGGACUGAAGAAAGAUCAAAGCGCAUAAAAUGGAAUCCAGCUCUUGGAGGACAUCGGAAAGGGAAUUUUCAAGUUGUUUCUUGUACAACCUAGCUAUUCAAAUUGGCAUAUAGGAACAUUUCAGCCUUUCUAAAUAAAAAGGGUUUUUUUAAUCGUGA